rnacentral:misc_RNA from 1 species
CGAGCGAUGAACUUGUUCAUGCCAUGGAUGCCGUUAAGUGGGGAGCUGACUACCUUAUUAAAGCUCAUCCUGAACCCCAUGUUCUCUAUGGGGAGGUGGGAGAUGGCAACAGCGACCAUAACUGCUGGCAAAGACCGGAAGAUAUGACAACCGACCGCCGGGCUUACAAGAUCGACCCAAGCAAUCCUGGGUCGGAUCUCGCCGGUGAAACAGCCGC